rnacentral:lncRNA from 1 species
CUCAUCUAAUCCAGAAUAAUGAAGAAACAAGCAGGGAGAAAGAGCCAUGGUUUUCUGCAGCUGGGACUUAAGAUGGGAUAGAUGUCAACUGAAGGAAUUUCUACUGAUUCCUGGGCAUACUUUCCCCAGAUGCAUUUGCAUUGGGAAACAGUGAGGAAUGGCGAGACAGUCCAAAUCCAAGUGACCUGAAGGCUUCAAAUAUCUUUGAGAAAUGAUUUCCUAAAGCUCUGAGGUAAGCUCUAUGGUUUUCUCAUAUUGUGCCUGUGUUUUUGAGACUUGCCUGAUCUUGAAAGUCAUUGUGUAUGUGGUGGUGAUGGGACUGUAUUAAAUAAAUAUAGAUCCUAGGUUUUACCAUGGAUUUCCAUUCACUAGGUCUUAGAGGCCCGGACAAAUGAUGCUCAUGAACAGGCAAGUUGAGAUCCUGCUUUAACCACUGAGUUAGACAUCUUUCCUUUUGUUGCCCUAUACAUAGCACAUGUUUAGUAAAAGAUGACCACCGACUUAAUG